UCUACGCCCAUUGAAGCUACAACACAUUGACAGUGAAAUAACGUGCUGCUGGAUGACUAAUACCUACACAGAGGAUUUGUUUUACAAUCUUGGGUUAUAUGCGUUAUCACUAAAACUGAGAUAUAUAUAUUUUCUUUAAUGUGUCCCCCGCUUUGUGUUACCGCACGGGUUUUCACAUGGUCGAGAUACAGUGAGGCUGCGCGUUGCAGCACAUCCCAAUGCGUUGUGAAGAAUCACGCACUCUCUGACGUCGCCUUGCUGCGGCUGCCCGCUCACUCCAGCGCCACAGCACGUAUUGCGCAACGUGACUGUUCAUGCCCACCAAUCCAUCCUCCUUUUGUGCAUUCUGUGUGGAAGACAGAAAAAAGAGAAGAAACGCAUCUCCUCCUACUCCUUCUCCUGCCUGCUCUCGCAGAGGAAUCGGGAGGCUCUUACGAAAUCAGGUGCAUUGUCAGUUUCUGCGUUAGUGGAUCUGCGAGAUGACACGUUCGGAGGUAUUGGAUGCUGCAGAAUUCUAGCGGUGGGGAGCGCAUCACCUUUACUUACCAAUCCAGCGCAUCCUGGAACUUCCAGCAUUGAGGCAACCGGCUCGCUGUGGGGGGAGAGAAAUAAGCACGGGAAGAGAGAGAAAGGCAAGCUGUAUUGUGUGAUCUUAAAGACGGUCUCUCUGGGUUGCAAUAGCAAUGGCAGCUGAUGGAAUUGGUAAACAGGGGUGCGUGUGGAUAUUGCACGACUGCAAUCAAGCGUGUCUGUUUAAUUAUUCUCGGGGGAGCUUCGUGAGCUACUUUUAAACGCAGAAGAGCCCUCCUUUCUUCCCCUCCUAGCUCGAUCCAUUUUAAAAGCCCACUCAGCUUAUUUUUUAUUGGCUUGUGAAACGUGCAUUUCUUCAUUUUCACCGUGAACGACUCUGCUUCUCCUCGAGCACAGAGGCUUCUUCUAUUUAAUUAUUUUAAAUAUAUAUACAAUAAAGAAUUGUUUGUAAUUCCGAAUGCUUUUCGGUGGUUGAAGAACCCUCCCCCUCCCUACUGCCACUACUGAUUUAUCAGCGGGAGUGCUGUGUGACAGUAGCCGGGAUUCGUGCUCUGUCUUGCAGACACUUUCCCCAAGAAGGCUCCGUCGUCUCUGGGCUGGAUAUGUUCACAUUUACGUCAAGAUGGAUUUAGUUUGCGGUCUGUUGUGGCUGCUCACGGUGUGUCUGGAAGGCAUUUGUUGCCAGGGAGUGUACGCGCCACCUAGUGUCCGCAUUGUGCACUCCGGGCAGGCAUGCAACAUCGAGGAAGAACGAUACACAGAGCGAGUGUACACCAUAAAAGAAGGAGAGACUCUGGAAUUAACAUGUCUUGUAACUGGCCACCCGCGGCCACAGAUCAGAUGGACCAAAACAGCAGGAAGUGCCUCCGACCGGUUCCAGGACUCGAGCGUCUUCAACGAGACCCUGCGGAUCAGCAACAUCCAGCGACACCAGGGGGGGCGCUAUUACUGCAAGGCAGAGAAUGGGCUGGGCUCGCCCGCCAUCAAGUCUAUCCGCGUGGACGUCUAUUAUCUGGAUGACCCCUCUGUGACAGUGCACCAGAGUAUCGGGGAGGCGAAGGAGCAGUUUUACUACGAGCGGACCGUGUUCCUGCGAUGCGUGGCCAACUCCAACCCCCCAGUGCGGUACAGCUGGCGCCGUGGCCGGGACGUCCUGUCCCAGGGCUCUGACAAGGGAGUGGAGAUCUAUGAACCCUUCUUCACCCAGGGUGAAACCAAAAUCUUAAAGCUGAAGAAUCUUCGACCUCAGGAUUACGCAAACUACAGCUGCAUUGCUUCGGUCCGAAACGUGUGCAGCAUCCCUGACAAGAUGGUCGUGUUCAGGCUUUCAAACAAAACAGCAUCUCCUUCGAUCAAGUUGCUGGUGGAAGACCCCAUCGUAGUGAACCCAGGGGAGACGGUGACCCUGGUCUGUAUAACGUCAGGAGGGGAGCCCGCUCCCACAUUGACCUGGGUCAGAGGCACCGAGACCCUGCCUCAGAAAAGCGUGUUGAACGGGGGCACUUUAACCUUACCAGCGAUUACCUCUGAAGAUGCUGGGAUUUACAGCUGUGUGGCGAACAACAACGUGGGCAACCCUGCUAAGAAAUCCACCACCAUCAUCGUCAGAGCUUUGAAGAAGGGCCGGUUCUGGAUCACCCCUGACCCGUACCACAACGACGACAACAUCCAGAUCGGCCGCGAGGUGAAGAUUUCCUGCCAGGUGGAGGCCACUCCCCCGGAGGAGCUGGCGUUCAGUUGGCUGAAGAACGGGCGGCCGCUGCGCAGCUCCGAGAGGAUGGUCAUCACGCAGACCGACCCCGACGCUUCCCCGGGCACCACCAACCUGGACAUCAUCGACCUCAAGUUCACCGACUUCGGGACCUACACCUGCAUGGCGUCGCUGAAGGGGGGAGGCAUAGCGGACAUCAGCAUCGACGUGAACAUCUCCUCCACCACCGUCCCUCCGAAACUCUCGAUCCCCAGUGGGAAGUCACCCCUGGUCACCCGGGAGGGGGACACGGUGGAGCUGCAGUGCCAGGUGACUGGGAAGCCCAAGCCCAUCAUCCUGUGGUCACGCGCGGACAAGGAGGCGCCCAUGCCGGACGGCAGCAUGGAGACAGAGAGCUACGACGGGAUCCUGCGGAUUGUGAACGUCUCCCGGGAAAUGACCGGAUCCUACCGGUGCCAAACCAGCCAGUACAACGGAUUCAACGUCAAGCCCAGGGAGACGGUGGUGGAGCUGAUUGUGCAGUAUCCACCCACCGUGGAACCCAUGUUCACAGAGAUGCGGCAAGGCCUGGGCCGCAACAUAGUGAUGAACUGCAGGGUGCUGCGGGCCUACCCGUCCCGGGUCCUCUCCUACGAGUGGAGGCUGGCCGGCAGGGUCCUGCGCACGGGCUACUUCGAUUCCCAGGACUCCACGGAGUACACUGUGAGCAGCCUGGCGCGCGAGGGCUACGGGGUCUACAACUGCAGCAUAGUGAACGAGGCCGGCACGGGGAGGUGCAGCUUCCUCGUCACGGGCCAGGCCUACGCGCCCGAAUUCUACUAUGACACCUUCAACCCGCUGUGGCAAAACCGUCCUCGCGUCUACUCCUACAGCCUGCAGUGGACCCAGAUGAACCCCAACGCAGUGGACCGCAUUCUUGCAUAUCGCUUGGGGAUUAGGCAGGCUGGUCAGCAGCGCUGGUGGGAGCAGGAGAUCCCAGUGAAUGGGAUGAUCCAGAAGGGGGAGCUGAUCACCUACAACCUGUCCGAACUGAUCAAGCCAGAGGCGUACGAGGUGCGCCUGACCCCCAUCACCAAGUUCGGAGAGGGGGACUCCACAAUCAGAAUGAUCAAAUACAGCGCUCCAAUGAAUCCCCACUUAAGGAACUUUCACUGUGGAUUUGAAGAGGACCCCAUCUGCAUGUUCACGCAAGAAAAGUCGGAUAAUUUUGAUUGGACCCGUCAGAGUGCUUCAACCAGAGACACAAAGUAUACGCCUAACACAGGCCCCACCACCGACAGAAGUGGGUCCAAACAGGGCUUCUACAUGUACAUUGAGACUUCUCGGCCCAGACUGGAGGGUGAAAAGGCGCGACUGAUGACCCCUACCUUCAAUGUAGCCCCCAAAAACCCCUACGGAGCCACCAACUCAGCAUACUGCUUCAGCUUCUACUACCACAUGUACGGAAAGCAUAUAGGUACUUUGAAUGCAUAUCUACGUCUGAAAGGCCAGACCACAGUAGACAGCCCGGUGUGGGCGCUGAGUGGGAACCAAGGCGAGCACUGGAGACUGGCCACCGCGAAUAUCCACCCCAACACCUCCUUUCAGGCAAGUGCCGUUCUCCCUGCAGUGUCAGGAACAGAACAAACUGGACAGGAAGAUAUGAACAGUCUGUAUUCUAAUUAGGUCAUUGCCAUCUAUAACUGUUAAACACUCCAUGGGACUACAUUUAGAAAUACUAAAAGAGAAAACGUGAUCAAUUCAAUGACAGACGUUCCGACUGCAGUACAGAUCUUUUACAAUGUCUACAAGCGUUGAAAAGGGAUUCUAGUGGAAACAUUUGUUGUUGAAGUUUCUUUUAGUAUCCCCUAUUAGGUAAUUGAUCAGACUUGCCUAGUAGCAGUACACAGUGGUCCUGCGUUAUUAAAAGCUCACUAUAUUAGUAAUACACAAUUUUAGAUAUACUGUACAUACUUUAGUAUAACUUAGAAGAAAUGUUCUAGCCAGAAAAGCUGUGAAUAAAACUGUAGUUAAUGAAGAUAAUGCUGAGCCAGGAUUUAAAACCAUAAUAUACAUUUUAUGAUAAACAUGCUGAGCAAAGAGAAAAAUUGUCCUUUUUUUCCCUUUGGAAAAAGUUUAAUAUCGCUGUAACAUAAAAUCCAAUGUGACUCGCCCGUCCCAAUCAUCGUAAUGAGGUUUAUAAAAGAGGACCCAUGUACAAAGGGCUUUUGCCAUUCAAAAGCAUCCAUCCGUGAAAUGUUGGCUGUUCCAUUCUGAGUCCUAUAAUUAUAAGGGAUUCAGACUUCAAGAAGCUGAAAAGAAGCCAGGAAAGAUUAGGAAAUUGUCUUUCUGUUCCCAGUUGUAAAUUACUUAACAGUCACCAGUCACUAAGGUGACAUAUAAAACAAAUGGGGUUACAGGCACACGGCCCGCUCCAGGAAUAGCUAAUCUUAUUUGACUCCCCUGAUGGGACAACACAUUUAUAUCCUGAGCGAGCUCCCAGUGGGAUGUACGAGCAACAAGAGUGUGGCUAAAGAGCAGUGUUGAUGUUGUAGAAUCAAAGACUAACACCAGGAGCACACUGUCUUAAAAAGACUUUCAUGAUGCUUUCAUAGUACAAUGCCCAUGCAUUGUGAAUUCCCCAUAUGGAGGCUGCAUUGCUGAAUCCACAUGGAUCCUGUUGGAUUAAAAGCUUGGUAGAGAGCCGACUGUAACAAGCAGUGAUGCACUGCCGUUACAGAUUCUGCCCUGUCUCCUGUCGGGGAAGUGAGAUCAGAAUGCAGACGAGCCCGGCUCUUUUGCAUGGUGGUAAGGACACUCGCUUGGGUACGCAGGGUUGCUGGUUUGUGCCCAGCCUCCGCCCUGUUACUCAAGGAUCAGGCUAGUAAACUGCAUUAGAAGAGCACGCUGAAGAGAAGAAUCGCAUUGCAUCAUCAGAAACCAAGCUGUUGAAUUACAAUGUGUUAGCCUACAUGUUGAUGCCCCUCCCCCAAUACCUCUCUUCAUUUUACACAUGAUCAUCAAUAAAGAAAUGUGUCUGACCAAUAAUGUACAUUCUUGCAGAUAAUCUUUGAAGGCAUUCGAGGUCCUGGUAUAGAAGGAGACAUUGCCAUAGAUGAUGUGUCUCUCAUGGAAGGGGAGUGUAUGAAAGCAGACGAGCCGAACGUCGCUGGGGUAUCUGCCUGCUCUCCUGGUGGAUCGCAUAUAUGGCAGCUACCAGUCGCCCUACUCCUGGCUCUGUAUAGCCAUCGAAGGUGACCUUUCACAGGCAGAGGCUACAGAAAGAUUCAUCAGGCAUUGGCAUGACGAAGGAGUCUUUGUACUUGGACCUUCAUAAUAAAAUUACCAAAGAUUCAUCCGCUGAACUGCUGAGGGGAACAGAAAAGCACCUAGGGUACCCGAGGGAGCAAAAACAAACAAACAAACAAACAAACAGAAAGGAAGAAUAAAAAAGAUAAAAGCCACUUAUUUUUUAAUAAAAUAUAUGCAGAAGAUGCUCCCAAGGGCAGAAUGGAGAGCUGUUUAUGUGACGUUUUGGUUGUUUCUGAAAUAAUGGCUGGGCAAGUCUGGAUUGUUUUUAUAUCAAGGAGAGAGACUGAUAAAGAUUGGAAAUUCCAGUAAAGCACAAAGACAUGGCUGUUUUUUUUUGUUCCAUCAUGUCAAAAUCACUUGUUGCCAAGAAAUCAAAUGGAUUGCUGAAAAAAAAACAGGAUACAGAAAGUGUUGUCAAUUACUCCCCUAUACCAAGGCAUUGUCAAGAAAGAGUGAAUUCUGCUCGCACAUCUGUGGCUCUCGGAUUCUAGCUGACAAUAUCCAAUACUCCAAGAUUUGUGUAGCAUUCUGUUCCUUCUUUCUUUGUAUCCCCAUGCAACCUACAAUGACCCAACACUGACAACCCCAGAAACCCUUGCCUUUCACUCUUAGCAUAGCUUCACAAAAAAAAAAAAAAAGAUAAUUUCUUCUGCCUCUCCUGCAUGAUUGGCUGUCCACUGUACCCCAAAACUGGGCCCACGUUAUUUUAUUGGUCUUAUUGAAAUCUGCUUGUGUGUUGUGGAACAGGGGGUGUCUGUUUUACAUCAUUAACACUUCCCUGCUACCAGUCCUACAUCCGCCAUAGGAAUGUGAGCCACCAUCUGCCAUGAACCAAGUGCCUUUAAAUUUUAAAUAAGCCUGAAAAUAAAAUAAAAGUAUAUAUAAAGAUAAAUAUUUGCACCACUCCUGGUGGGGCUAUUUUGUACACAGUCGACAGCCUACCUGUGCUGUUUAAAGGUAGUAAUAAUAAAAAUUAAAAAAAAAGAUUAAUAAAAAAUUGUAUUAAUGACCCGGAGCAGUCCCUCCAUAGCUUCUGAAGAAGAAAAGAAAUGAAAAUGCUACCUAAGUCGUCCUGGAUGGGAUAUUUGUUAUAGUCUUCAAGGCAGCCAUGGCCUUUGAGCAAGCAAUCCUCUUUGAAUUAAAAAAAAAAAAGAAGAAAAAAAUAGUUCUGUACCGAGACUGUAAAUUGGAAGCAGUGCUCUGAGUGGGGUUACUGAGCAUGAGCGGAAUGACCAGUACAAAGGUGUCUGGAGAGGCGAGCACAGCAAAGGAGAGCAAAGCCUGUGAUUGAUGCCCUUAUUUAGAGGAGUAGUCUCCAUUCCAGAUCGAGGCGGCCCUAGGCGUGCAAAAAACAAACCCCAGUAUGGAACUGCAGUGCAAUGGGAAUGUGUUUCUGUGUCCGGACUGUUCGGAGCGAGGCGCCGUCCUGAGGCUGAGGAUUGGGAAGGAUGACUUGUGGGCUCCUUGCCUCUGCCCGUUUUUGUCAAAACUUUCUGAACAAAAUUAAAACAAAAAAAAAAUAUUUUAUUACCUUAGCUGGAGUGUAAUAUUACUUUUACACAAAAUGAAGAAACUGUAAAGAAUGACUUGGAGCUACCUGAGACCAUACAAUACCUUGACCAGUUGGUUUUAGAAAUGUAUUGUGAAUCUCCCUUUUAUCCUUGAUUAUGAUGACAUUUAAAGACUUUUCUUUUUUUUGGCUUAAAUUAUCUGACCUUUUAACUUCAUAUAACAGACUUUAAUUUUGUUUUCUUUCAGGAAGAUGUACUUGUCCUUCUUGACUCCCUUGCAUUUAAAACAGAACCAGAAAAACUGAUAUGCAAAUAAAUGGGUAAAUCAAUAAUUUAAAAUAAGUUCUAUAGGUAACCUUUGUGACUAUUCAUACACAAAAAGCACAAGAUGUAAUAAUAAUAAAAAUCAUAAUGCAGA